CGGGAGCCGCAGCCCGCGGCCGCUGAGCCCCGGCGGGCCAGACCGGGUCCGGCCGGGCCAGAGGUUUCAGACACAGACGCAGACGCGGCGGGCGGAGGCGACGGGCCGACGCCGGUCAAGGCCCGCGCUCCUUCCUCCCGCGGAGCGGUCUCCGCAGCUCCGGAAGUGCUCAGUGCAGUUGCGUCACUUCCGGCCCGGGGUCGACCCGCGGUCGCCGAGGUCGCGACUGGUGCUGGGUAAUAGCGUCCCUUGGCCAACGCUUCACUGCAGCCCAGCACUCCGAUCCCGAGUGUGACCCGGCACGGCCCGCGCCCACGGCUGCGGGAGGCAGCGGAGGAGAGAAGUCGGCUUAUUGGAGAGUGGUCAAGGCAUCUCUUCCGGCUUUCUCCUACCGGCGCCGCCCGCCGGGAUAAUUUUAACCAGCGUUUUUCUGAUGGACUGCUCGCUUCACUGUUUGUAUUCGAGUGUAGUGCACAUAGAAGACAUACUGACGCCUAUGGAGUGGUAAAGGACUGUUGUUUCCCGGCCGCUAUCUGGUGGAAGAAGAAUUGGGGUUUCAGGUCCCCGCGCCGGGCCGGGAAUUUCUGCUUACACUCUCAGGCCGCCACCUGGUGGCCCCCGAGCCGCAGAUACCACGCCGGGCUUUCCCUUGACUCUCCGCUGCGUGGCCUACCCAGUUCUUCAGCUUCCCAUUCAUCGUACAAGAUUGAAUCGUGAUUUUGUUUCUUAAAUUCCACUCUUGCCUUGCUACACGGUUUCUUCAAAGAGUUUAGGAACAAAGGACCUAAAGUGUAUUUUCUGCAAAUGAAAUCUGAAUUAGAAGCUCUCGUUUUGGGUUACAGGUAAUAAAUGCUUUCCAGCAAAUAAAAGGAAA